UGGGGAAUAUUGCGCAAUGGCCGCAAGGCUGACGCAGCGACGCCGCGUGUGGGAUGAAGGCCUUCGGGUUGUAAACCACUGUCGGGGGGGGCGAAUACCUGGCUUCGAAUAGGAGACCAGGGGUGACGGUACCUCCAAAGGAAGCACCGGCUAACUCCGUGCCAGCAGCCGCGGUAAUACGGAGGGUGCAAGCGUUGUCCGGAAUCACUGGGCGUAAAGGGCGCGUAGGCGGCUAUGUAAGUCACUUGUGAAAUCCCGGGGCUCAACUCCGGGGCCGCAGGUGAGACUGUGUGGCUAGAGCAUGGUAGAGGCGAGUGGAAUUCCCGGUGUAGCGGUGGAAUGCGUAGAUAUCGGGAAGAACACCGGUGGCGAAGGCGGCUCGCUGGGCCAUUGCUGACGCUGAGGCGCGAAAGCGUGGGGAGCAAACAG
rnacentral:rRNA from 1 species